UACGUAGGGCGCAAGCGUUGUCCGGAAUUAUUGGGCGUAAAGAGCUCGUAGGCGGCCAGUUGCGUCUGCUGUGAAAUCCCGGGGCUCAACCCCGGGCGUGCAGUGGAUACGGGCUGGCUAGAGGCAGGCAGGGGAGAACGGAAUUCCCGGUGUAGCGGUGAAAUGCGCAGAUAUCGGGAGGAACACCGGUGGCGAAGGCGGUUCUCUGGGCCUGUACUGACGCUGAGGAGCGAAAGCGUGGGGGAGCGAACAGG
rnacentral:rRNA from 1 species